ACCUCGGAUCAGGUAGGAAUACC
rnacentral:rRNA from 2 species